ACACACUAGGCAACUGGCAACUUUGGUCGGACCAACUUUUUCGAUUCAACUCAGCAUGUCGAGUCGCGCGCGAUUUGUGUCGGCAACCUUUUCGUUCAAUUGCUGUUGACGUUUCGAUUUCUGCGUUCAUUGAAUUUCAAUAUCUGUCAGUGGUGAUGCAAAACAGUGUUUACAAUAUUGGCGCAUCUGUUUCUAUGAACGAACGAGAUGAAAUGCCAUCAAUAUGCAAGUUCUCUUGAUAUACCGUCCGGGAAGAGUGCUGAAUUGGUCAAGGAUGCGUAUAAUAUUGGAGAUUGAGCAAGAAGCACAGAAUCCGCUGGAUGUGUUUUUUCUAAGUUAACAGCAAUUGUUGCUGUCUGUUGUUAUCAGCGAGCCGAAAUAAGUAUGUUAGAUAGCCUAAGAUUGGAUAAUUCUGGUCAGAUUUCCCGGGAAACCGUUAUCAUCCCUGAUUCUCGAUUGUACCAUGUGCGAAGGUGCGGUCUGCGAAUAUGUGACCCCUGGGAGAAUUUUUCAUAUUUAGCGUUAGUGUAUACAUAAAUCAUUCUUUAGAAGAAUUGUUGAAAAUUUUUCUGUUUUCUUUAUAUAAUUCUUUUCGGCUGUAUUCUUAUUUCAAUGAUUUUUUUAUGUUUGUAAAUAUUGUUUGCUGGUUUGUGGUAUUACUCCAACGAAAAAUAAAUAUAUACAUCCAUUUUUUAGAAAUA